AUUGAACGCUGGCGGCAUGCCUUACACAUGCAAGUCGAACGGCAGCACGGGAGCAAUCCUGGUGGCGAGUGGCGAACGGGUGAGUAAAGUAUCGGAACGUGCCCAGUCGUGGGGGAUAACGUAGCGAAAGUUACGCUAAUACCGCAUACGAUCUAUGGAUGAAAGCGGGGGAUCGCAAGACCUCGCGCGAUUGGAGCGGCCGAUAUCAGAUUAGGUAGUUGGUGGGGUAAAGGCCCACCAAGCCGACGAGCUGUAGCUGGUCUGAGAGGACGACCAGCCAGACUGGGACGGAGACACGGCCCAGACUCCUACGGGAGGCAGCAGUGGGGAAUUUUGGACAAUGGGCGAAAGCCUGAUCCAGCCAUGCCGCGUGCAGGAUGAAGGCCUUCGGGUUGUAAACUGCUUUUGUACGGAACGAAAAGGACUGCCCUAAUACGGUGGUCCCAUGACGGUACCGUAAGAAUAAGCACCGGCUAACUACGUGCCAGCAGCCGCAGUAAUAC
rnacentral:rRNA from 1 species